UAAAACCCUAAAAUCCUAAACCAUAAAUCCUAAAUUCUAAAAUUCUUUAGUAAAAUUAGACUGUUAUCGUCAAUUAAGCCCGAAAACCCUAAACCCUAAAACCCUAAAUCUUAAACCCUAACCCAACGGUUAUUAGUGGAAUUAAACUAACUAUGUUUAACUACUUAUUAGUGAUUUAACCAUAUCGAUUUCAACAUUUGUUUUUGAUGUUAUCUAUCGUAUUAAGAAUCUACCGAUGGUUAUUUGGCCAGAAAAUCAGAAAAACGAUAGUAAUUUAUAAGAAUCUAGAGCAUGCAAAUUAGGAAACAUGCAACAUUAUUAGAUCUAGUUGUUGCCGUUAAGUUUAA
rnacentral:lncRNA from 1 species